rnacentral:rRNA from 1 species
UUUAUCGGAGAGUUUGAUCCUGGCUCAGGACGAACGCUGGCGGCGUGCCUAAUACAUGCAAGUCGAGCGGACAGAUGGGAGCUUGCUCCCUGAUGUUAGCGGCGGACGGGUGAGUAACACGUGGGUAACCUGCCUGUAAGACUGGGAUAACUCCGGGAAACCGGGGCUAAUACCGGAUGGUUGUUUGAACCGCAUGGUUCAGACAUAAAAGGUGGCUUCGGCUACCACUUACAGAUGGACCCGCGGCGCAUUAGCUAGUUGGUGAGGUAACGGCUCACCAAGGCGACGAUGCGUAGCCGACCUGAGAGGGUGAUCGGCCACACUGGGACUGAGACACGGCCCAGACUCCUACGGGAGGCAGCAGUAGGGAAUCUUCCGCAAUGGACGAAAGUCUGACGGAGCAACGCCGCGUGAGUGAUGAAGGUUUUCGGAUCGUAAAGCUCUGUUGUUAGGGAAGAACAAGUGCCGUUCAAAUAGGGCGGCACCUUGACGGUACCUAACCAGAAAGCCACGGCUAACUACGUGCCAGCAGCCGCGGUAAUACGUAGGUGGCAAGCGUUGUCCGGAAUUAUUGGGCGUAAAGGGCUCGCAGGCGGUUUCUUAAGUCUGAUGUGAAAGCCCCCGGCUCAACCGGGGAGGGUCAUUGGAAACUGGGGAACUUGAGUGCAGAAGAGGAGAGUGGAAUUCCACGUGUAGCGGUGAAAUGCGUAGAGAUGUGGAGGAACACCAGUGGCGAAGGCGACUCUCUGGUCUGUAACUGACGCUGAGGAGCGAAAGCGUGGGGAGCGAACAGGAUUAGAUACCCUGGUAGUCCACGCCGUAAACGAUGAGUGCUAAGUGUUAGGGGGUUUCCGCCCCUUAGUGCUGCAGCUAACGCAUUAAGCACUCCGCCUGGGGAGUACGGUCGCAAGACUGAAACUCAAAGGAAUUGACGGGGGCCCGCACAAGCGGUGGAGCAUGUGGUUUAAUUCGAAGCAACGCGAAGAACCUUACCAGGUCUUGACAUCCUCUGACAAUCCUAGAGAUAGGACGUCCCCUUCGGGGGCAGAGUGACAGGUGGUGCAUGGUUGUCGUCAGCUCGUGUCGUGAGAUGUUGGGUUAAGUCCCGCAACGAGCGCAACCCUUGAUCUUAGUUGCCAGCAUUCAGUUGGGCACUCUAAGGUGACUGCCGGUGACAAACCGGAGAAGGUGGGGAUGACGUCAAAUCAUCAUGCCCCUUAUGACCUGGGCUACACACGUGCUACAAUGGACAGAACAAAGGGGCAGCAAAACCGCGAGGUUAAGCCAAUCCCCAAAUCUGUUCUCAGUUCGGAUCGCAGUCUGCAACUCGACGCGUGAGAGCUGGAAUCGCUAGUAAUCGCGGAUCAAGCAUGCCGCGGUGAAUACGUUCCCGGGCCUUGUACACACCGCCCGUCCACCACGAGAGUUUGUAACACCCGAAGUCGGUGAGGUAACCUUUUAGGAGCCAGCCGCCGAAGGUGGGACAGAUAUUGGGGUGAAGUCGUAACAAGGUAGCCGUAUCGGAGAGUGCGGCUGGAUCACCUCCUUUCUAA